GAAUAGAAGAUUGAUGUUCCCAUAUUAGAGAUGACAAAAGUGAGACUCAGCAUCUUCAUAACAUGGCUAACUUUCUGUAUACUCACUAUGUGACUGAGAAAACGUGUCAUCUCAUUUAAUCCUCACAACAAUCUGAUGAGAGAUGAGGUCUCGAUGUGUUGCCCAGUCUGGUCUCAAACUCCUGGCCUCAAGUGAUCCUCGACCUUCCAAAGUGCUGGGUUUAUAGGCAUGAGCUGCUGUGCCCAGCUUGAACCCACGUUGCUUACUUCAAAGCCUAAUGACCAAUUUCGUGAAGGAGGUCUGCUGCACUCUCAAGCCAGGCUAUGUCAGCUGGACUAUGUGGUGUCUUUUGUACCUGUCUGCGUCCUGCCGUCCUGUUCACCAUCUGCAGAGGGCUCAGCUUGCAGUCCCAGAGGAAAUGUACAUUUCCAGAAGAGUGAAGGAAAGACCUAGAGCCUAAGCUAAUGACAUCAAGUACUCUGAACUUGUCUUUGUGUCCACCUUGUUUUGGUUCCAGAGAAAUGAGACAGUUGCUAGUGAGGUUGGUGCUACCUUGCGUAGCUUCUAAACCUCAAACUUACCGUGGAGAUUUUGUCCCUGGCUUUUUCUUUGUUCUCAGGUCUUAUCAUUCCC